GCUGCAGGACGUUACUCCACAGCCUGGUGGUCAUCCAGCGGAAGGUGCGUGGCCACUUGUGUCGCCGGCAGUUUGCGCGCUGCCGACGAGCGGCCGUCCUGCUGCAGAGACGCUGGCGACUGGUCCUGGGGCUCCGCGCUGAGCGGAGAGAGGCAGAGCGGAGAGAGGAGGAGGAGCGGCGAGAGGAGGAGGCCAGGGUCGCGGAGGAGCGGAAGGUUGAUGACACGAGCGAUGACGAGAGCAGCUUUGGGGUGAAUCUCCCUGAGAGACCACCGUCUCCACCGUCUCCACCAUCUUCACCGUCUCUGGCCCAGCCAGAAUGGCCGGAGCCGCCACCGCCGGUAUGGCCGGAGCCGGAGCAGGAAUGGCCGGUGCCAGAGCGGACACAAGCGGAGCAGGACUGGCCGGAGCCGGAGCGGGAAUGGCCGGAGCCGGAGCGGACACAAGCGGAGCAGG